CCGUCUCCUUUCAUGUGUUGCCACAGGAAGCUAUUCCAUUUCACUGCCUUACAUCCUCAUGGGAAGUCUUACGUCUCUGGUGGGGUUGCUGAGUCUCCUGCUGCCUGACACCCAAGGAAUGCCCCUGCCUGACACCAUCACUCACAUGCAACGCUUCCCCGGAUGUUGUCAGAAGAAAAUGAACACACUCACCGGAGCUGAGGAGAAGGGAAACCCAGCAGAACAGAAGACUCUGGUUCAAUGAGGAUCUGAUAUCCGGUCUGAGGCGGGAGUGAAUCUGUGACUUGUCUUCAGCAGGGCGAACACGACGGGGCCUUCAAAUGACUCCUCAAAAACACAGUUCUGAUCUGUCUGUAAAAGGACAGGUGGAACAUUGUCUCUGCCUCAAACACGUCUGUGUUCGCUGUUACCCUCAAUAAAGAAAUGUUGUGAUCAUGAUGACAUGCACAGAAUUCAAGCACAAUUUAAUUUACUCCAAAAUGUUCAAGUGUAAAUCUGUGCCGAGCUUUAACCUCUUUAUGAAUUCACUUCUUCAAAGGAGUCGUUUUUUAUUCUGUUUUUAAUGUUUUCAUGGUUUUUAGAUUACUAAUAACUUUGUUCUUGAUGGUUUGAAAUGUUUUCACAGUUUACUUUCAAAAAGCUCCCUGGAGGAAAGUUUGGAGCGUUGUUUUGGGGGGAGGCAUGGGAACUUUAAUCUGUCGGGACAGAAGAAGAAACAAAACGAUGUUUUAGUGACCACAUUAUCAAACUCAUGAUUCCCUGAUGAGGCUGACGUUGAUGCUUCCCUGUAGAAACUAUAAAUGAGGAUCAGAUUUUCAUGUUGGUGAAAUAAAUAAAGUUCCUAACCAUAGAC